GAUGAAGAACGCAGCGAAAUGCGAUAAGUAAUGUGAAUUGCAGAAUUCAGUGAAUCAUCGAAUCUUUGAACGCCCCUUGCACCCUUUGGACUGCUCCAAAGGGUAUGCUCGUUUGAGUGUCAUUGUACUCUCACACUCUCUGAUCCUUUGGAUUUGGGGAGCAGUGGACUUGGGUGCUUGCUGCUUCCUUGUGGCUCACCUGAAAUGCAUCAGUGCAUCUCUCGAUUGGACAUAGUACGGCGUGAUAAGUGUCUUCGCCGGCACCUCAUAUGAGGGUGUCCGAUCGGGAGCUCUGUGCUUUCAAACCGUCUUCGGACAACGCUGACAACUUGACCUCAAAUCGAGUAGGACUACCCGCUGAACUUAAGCAUAUCAAUAAGCGGAGGA
rnacentral:misc_RNA from 1 species